rnacentral:lncRNA from 1 species
CGUCAGCCACCGCGCCCGGCCUAUAAUUUUUUUUUUUAACUCCUUCACUGUUGUUGGCAGAAUUUAGUUUCUUCCUGUUACAAGGAUUGAGGUCGCCAUUUCCUUGCUGGUAGUCACCUGAGGACUGUUCCCAGAUUCUAGAGACUGCCUGCAUACCUUGGCUUAUCACCUUCCACUGCCUGCAUACCUUGGCUUAUGCCCUUUCUCCUGCAUCUUCCAAGCCAGCAAUGGUAGGACCAUUCGGUAUUCUUGAGAAACACUGGCUAAUCUUCUAGUCGACAAAGUCACACCCAAGGAAAGCACCAAACUUCUCUGAGGUCAAUAUUAUGUUGGAUUGUGCAGAGCCUGUUCCAUAAAGAUCUUUAUGUGCCCAACAAGCUGCAGACAACUUCUUGCAGCUCUGCAUGUGGGAGAAUAGGAAAUGGAAACUGAUAUCCACAUAUAAAGAUGAUGCAGGAAGAGGUAACCAUCCAUCACGGUUUUCCCAGAACAGGCUGAUUUGCGUCUUCUGUCCUGGCAUAAGGAUCCCUUCACUCUCGGAAGUGUUCCGGCAUUCAUAAUUAAUGGUGCAUAUAAGCAAGAAGUGACUCUAUAAUAAGAAAACCUUUGGAUCCAUUAACCUGGCAUCCAUUUCUAGGGAAGGUAUCACUGUGGUCCUGAAAGGAUAGCUCCAAGUCACCUGUCGACAUUCUUGAGUUUGCUUUGCGGAGAGAGGAAAAGACUAACAACAGAACUAAAGUAGAUCCACUGAAGACAUGAGUGAUAGACAAUCACUUCAGAACUUCACAUCGCCGUCCAAGAAAACAUCUAGCUGACAUUUCUUCAAAAAAAUUUAUGUACAGUAUAGUUGUCAAACUGAUUUUUCAAAAGCAACUCCUUUGCUUUUCAUUUUUCUCAAAGUAAAACCUCAGGGUAGCACAUUCCAAAGAAGAUACGAAAAAGUUUAUUAUUAUAUAUUUUUCCACCAUUAAAUCUAGGGGUAAUAUCAUCUGUAAAUAUAGUGGAGAAAGUCUGGAGACUUUUUAAAAGGAAUUGUAAAGAUGUUGAUAGGAGUUGGGGAGAGGAAUCCUUACCAAGCUCUCUACCUGACACUCCUUAUUCAAAGAAAAUUCUGCCCUAACGUAGCCCUGGCAGUCCAUUUGUGUCCAGGGAGCUCAGUCCCCCUCCACUCUCCAGUGUAUAAUUCCAGCAGUAAGGAAAAUUAAGACAAAGCAUUCUGUGCGAGGGAGGGCGGAAAGGUUAAGCAGCGUUGGGGUGCAGUGGAAACCAGAAAAGAAAGUGACCUCAUUUUGCCUGAGAAAGCACGAUCCAACAAGCCCACCUUUGAUGUGGAUUUCAGCAGCGAUAAAAGAGCACAAAGGGCGAAAGCCGGAGGGAGCAAACUUCCCUUAUUCUUCCCCCCGCCCCCUACCUCUCAAGACCACCAGGAACACGCACACGCGAGGACAACA